rnacentral:lncRNA from 1 species
UCUCAUCGCGCCGUUUUCCCCUGUAUAAGCCAUCCUUCAUUAUCACUACAUGACUGUGAAUUUAACUACUUUGAUAGUUCUUAGACAAGUGCCUUGAUAAAGUGCUUCGCGCGCUGCCCGUGUUGUACUCUUUUUCUUUUUUUG